rnacentral:rRNA from 1 species
GACGUAGGGCGCGAGCGUUGUCCGGAUUUAUUGGGCGUAAAGAGCUCGUAGGCGGCUUGUCGCGUCGUCCGUGAAAACUUGGGGCUCAACCCCAAGCUUGCGGUCGAUACGGGCAGGCUAGAGUUCGGUAGGGGAGACUGGAAUUCCUGGUGUAGCGGUGAAAUGCGCAGAUAUCAGGAGGAACGCCGGUGGCGAAGGCGGGUCUCUGGGCCGAUACUGACGCUGAGGAGCGAAAGCGUGGGGAGCGAACAGG